rfam:Myotis davidii contig219, whole genome shotgun sequence.
GGCAAUUCUCAAGUGAUGCGCCCCGGAAUUGGGCUCCCUCCUUUCUGGUUCCCUGUGUGUCACCCGAGAACCACA